AGGUUUCGUUUUUGUGCCUCCAACCAGUUGCUGUUUUUUCUUCAGUUCAACCAGCACGGUUCCUACCAUCCAAGAUGCGCCAGCCUAUCUGCUUGAUUGUUAUAUUCUUGUGUGGAUUCCAUCUCUUCUCAAGUGUACAAGGAGGCUCAUGUUCAAGUUCUGAGCCUACACGAAAACCUACUGACCCCUCGUGUGUUGGUGAAACUUGCGGGCCUGAGAGCUGCCCAAGUCCAUGCACAAGGUGCGUCAGCACUAAUCCAUGGUGUAAGGGAUACUGUUACAUGAACUAGCCAUCGGGAUGCACAGACCACCACGAAAAUCUGGUGAUCUGGCGAAUUACCA